UACGAAGGGGGCUAGCGUUGUUCGGAAUUACUGGGCGUAAAGCGCGUGUAGGCGGGCGAAUAAGUCAGGGGUGAAAUGCCAAGGCUCAACCUUGGAACUGCCUUUGAUACUGUUCGUCUUGAGUCCGGGAGAGGUGAGUGGAACUGCGAGUGUAGAGGUGAAAUUCGUAGAUAUUCGCAAGAACACCAGUGGCGAAGGCGGCUCACUGGACGACUGUUGACGCUGAGGUACGAAAGCGUGGGGAGCAAACAGG
rnacentral:rRNA from 1 species